GGAUUCCCCUAGUAACUGCGAGUGAAGCGGGAAAAGCUCAAAUUUAAAAUCUGGCGGUCUUUGGCCGUCCGAGUUGUAGUCUGGAGAAGUGCUUUCCGCGCUGGACCGUGUAUAAGUCUCUUGGAACAGAGCGUCAUAGAGGGUGAGAAUCCCGUCUUUGACACGGACUACCAGUGCUUUGUGAUGCGCUCUCAAAGAGUCGAGUUGUUUGGGAAUGCAGCUCAAAAUGGGUGGUGAAUUCCAUCUAAAGCUAAAUAUUGGCGAGAGACCGAUAGCGAACAAGUACCGUGAGGGAAAGAUGAAAAGCACUUUGGAAAGAGAGUUAAACAGUACGUGAAAUUGCUGAAAGGGAAACGCUUGAAGUCAGUCGCGUCUGCCGGAACUCAGCCUUCCUUUUGGUUGGUGCACUUUCCGGUAGACGGGCCAGCAUCGAUUUCGACCGUCGGAUAAGGGCUGGGGAAAUGUGGCACCUUCGGGUGUGUUAUAGUCCUCAGUCGCAUACGGCGGUUGGGAUCGAGGAACGCAGCGCGCCGCAAGGCAGGGGUUCGCCCACUUUCGCGCUUAGGAUGCUGGCAUAAUGGCUUUAAACGACCCGUCUUGAAACACGGACCAAGGAGUCUAACAAACCUGCGAGUGUUUGGGUGGAAAACCCGAGCGCGUAAUGAAAGUGAAAG
rnacentral:rRNA from 2 species